CCCUGGGAAAAGCCCUCAAUACUUGGCUGUCUCUCCCCUUGUGUUUAUCCUAUUUCAGUUCUUUCUUUCUCAAAAUCUAACCAGAGACUGGGAAUUUGGUGAGUGCAUAUUGCCUGAUUUUGUUGAUGGUUCCUCCGCUUUACUUAUUCCUUGCCUUCUUUUCUAUUUUCAGCACGAGCUUUACAUUCGAGCCUUCCAGAAACUGAGUGAAUUUCCCCCAAUCAAAGACCAAGAAUCAGAGACCCAGUACUGUAAACUGGUCCGACAGCUCCUAGAUGAUCACAAGGACGUUGUCACAUUGCUGGCGGAAGGCUUGCGGGAAUGUCGCAAACACAUCCAGGAUGAGAAGAUGAUCCGUUCCUUUCUGGACAAGACCCU